rfam:Myotis davidii contig308280, whole genome shotgun sequence.
UUUGCUUUUCAGCCUUUUGGCUAAGAUGAAGUAUAGUACCUGUUCCUAUCAGUGUAAUAUCUGAUACAUACUUGAAGACGACGUGUUAGACAUAUUACAUGGAUUUUUGGAGCAGGAGGUGGAAUAGGAGUUUGCUCAGGCCAUUGCUCGCAUUGACCCGGUAUGGUAGUACUUUUGGGAAUGGUGCACCCCCU